ACUCAUACCUUGCAGGGGAAAUGCCAUGUUAUAAAAGUGGUUUUUCUAGGGUUAGGCUUAUCUGUUGUAUUUUAAGUAUGCUGCUCCCUAUGAUUUCCCCAAAUGUGGGAAACUCAGCUGCAUGGCAAUAAAGGAUUGCAUUUGUGAUUUCCUUGG
rnacentral:snRNA from 1 species